GUUGGAAGCUGUACGCAGGUUUGCCUGAUGCAGAAGCCUAUAUUCCUUCCACUCCAUGAUGCUGAAACAGGUUUUCAUUCUUCCCUUUCUCCCAGGAACACCAGCCCCAUCUUUUCACCAUGGAGCUUCCAGAGCUGACUUUGAAGUAUAAAGAGAAAGACCGGAUGUUGGGCCACAGUAGAGGGCUUCCACCAAAGGAGGGGUCUGGGGGCAAAGCAGGCAAAGAGGCAAGCUCCAGGCAGGGGCUGCCAGCAAGCAGGCUUCUCUCGAUGGGUACAACAGUGCUGUAAAGCUGACAAACAGAGUUUGGCUUCACUUGAAGGUGUGAAAAGAACAGCCUGACUCUGAGAGGCAAGUCCGCCAAGCCCAGGACCCUAGGGCACCUGGUUCUCACCAUUGCCUGCAAUGCCGCAGCCACUUCCCAAGUCAGGAGGGCAGCUGAAGUCCUGCACUGGGGACAGUUGGGUCAGCUGUGUCUGUUAGACAUCCCCCGAUGACACAGAAUGCCUCUCUCCUCUGAGAGCAGGACAGUGUGUUUAGACAGUCCCUGGUAAAUGUGAGCAGCCAUGAGAAAGGCAGCCUUAAGUGGCUCAAAUUAACCUCUUCUAUGGAUACAGAGUUGAGCUCCAUCAUUCACUCCCCACGAGAGAAAGAUUGCUGUGGCCUUAAGCAGUGGAAGCAGAACUGUUAUUAUUAUUUUUAAGUUGAUGCAAAAAAGGACUUCUUUCUCCACUUUGAAUAUGUUGUCAUCUUGGGUGAGGCAAGAGGACCAUGUAAGGUGGUGACAAGCACUGUUGGCUUUUUUGGGAGAGCAUUGGCUGACUCCAUCCACUACUCUGGGGUGACAAGACGGGAAAAACCACGGUUUACCAGGCAGGUGUUGGGAUUAAGAUACACUUUCAUUUUCAAAGCACUUUGCAGUCAUUAACUAAGUGCUCACCCCUAAUUCUCUUCUAGGUUGAGCUUGGCCAUGGUCUCCCCAUGCUGUCUCCCUUGCCUCUUCUCUGAGUCUCAAGGAACAUGCUGUCACUGGCAGAUAUAAGAACAUCUUGUGCUUUAUAUAUAUUUUUAAACCUUACUGGGUUGCUUGUCUAACUCACCCCUCCAGUAGCUUAGUGAGAUUAAUGCCUCUUUCUAAACUGUGAUAACCAAGAGAUACUUUCCAGCAAAUGCGAAUGGGGCUUUAAAGUGCUGCGAGGCAGGAUGACAAGAUCUUGGGUGAGUUUCAGGUAUUACAAAGAACAUUUUGAUUUCCUUUUCAGAGGAAAUGUAGAAGGGCUUUAUCAGCGUAGGUAACACUAUAGAGCUGAGUGAAAUGUAAAUGAAAUUCCCAGUUUUCAUUUUCCCGCUUCAUUUGAUAUUUGUGGGUUUUAGAAGUAGGACCAGCUGGAUUCAUCUGCAGAAAAAGCCAUGUGGCUGCGGAGCUCCUUCCGUUGUUAAGAAGUGUGCCUUUGGGCUAAGGGGAAAUGUUCUGAAGGCAGAUCUGGAUGUGAAUUUUGGUUCAGAUAUUUAUUAACCGUGGGACCCUAGGCAAGCUGGUUUCUGAGCUUUGAUUUCCUCAUCUGUAAAAGGAGGAUAAUAAUGGAUACCUCAAAGAGUUAUAAAGAUCAGAAGUAAAAUACAUGCAAAGAAGUAGAGAGGGCUGUUUCAAGUCGCUUACUUUUAUUUUAACAUACAGCUGGUGGGCCAGGAGAGAGUGAAAACAAAGCCACUGGAUAGUGAGAGGAUAGAGGGUGCUCCACAGACGCGAACUGCAUCUUUAUGUUUACAUAGAAGGGAGAGUGAAGGAGCAAAUGUGGGCAACAGCUGUCAGUGACACAUCAUUACCCCAACAGCCAGAAACAAGAUAAGCGCCUUGCAGGGGCCCUUAACUGACUGCUGGGUUCGAUGGUUCAAAGAGAAAAAGCACGUGAUAACUUUGAAGGAGGCUGCCUGGCUGAGCUGAUCGGAUCACCUAGAGACUGGAAAUGCUUUCUGGCAGUGCCUGAUCCUCUACUGGGUGUUCAACACUGGCUGCAUUUAUGGAGACCACAGACAAAAGAUGGAAACAGCCUCCACCGGCAUGGGGAUCAGGCAUGGGGCAAACACAGGAGACAAAACAGGAGAAUCUCCCGAGAACACCCUCUGAUCAGCACUCUGCAUGCAAUUUCCAUCUCAGACUCUGUUUCUAGGAAGACUUUCAGGCAGCUGACACUGGACGUGGUUGUGAGUUGCAGGCCCUAAUGAAAAAUUGGAGAGGAAGCAGGUGGCCGGCUGAUGAAAUGAUAACCAGAAGGCCUGUGGGCUUGGGUGGCUGAGGCUGAGGCUACUGAGUGUUGAAGAGAGAGAGGCAGAGGCGCAGGAUGACUCAUCACUGGUUUCAGGCAAACUGUGAAAGCCAGAGCACUUCCUUGGCAGCAUUUAAGAAAACCCCGAUGAUCUGCAGCUGGAAGGCAGGUUGGCUGGAGGACCAGUCUGAACCCUGAUCUGAAGUCACCUGCCCUAUCUGGACAUUCCAUAGACUACCACUUUUACCCACGACUUCGAUGUGGCAUGCUCAUUGGACCAGAUAAGCAAGCAGUGGCAAGUGGAUUGGAGGUCUUGGUAACCAGUUCAACCAAAAUCCUGGGACAGCUGUUCCCUGAUGCGGCACACUUCCUAGAAGAAGCAAGUGAAUUUAAAGCAGAGUGAACUGUAGAGGAGUUCACGACCAAAUCUCUGAUGCUUUCCCCAGAUCUUUCUUCAGGGCCAACACAUCCAUUGCUCAGCUGUGAUAGACAGCAGUCAGGGGUGGCUCACCUCUCUCACUGGGAAUUGCUCUCAGCAGUAGGGAACUCAUUCAGGGUUAAGGCAUCUCCUUGAGGAGGCCCAUGUUCAAUUACUGGUUGACACAGGAAUAUGAAGGCCUGGCCCUCGUCUCAGCUUGGAAUAAAUCUGAAGGCCCAUCACAGCUUCAGAGAUGCUUGGAGAAGGCUGAGGUCUCCCCUGUAACCUUAUGAGAACCUUGAGUUGUUGAACUCAUUAAUUCUUUGGGACCAUCUUCCUGAUGUUCAAGUUUGUGAAACAGGCUUUCCCUUUAAGAUUUGUUUUCCUCAAAAUACAAGACUAUUGAUGCUUCAGUUUUGAAGUGGAUUCUGCACUCAAGAAAUGUACCAUUGAAGAAUGGGACUGGUAGGAAGGGAAAAAAACUAAAAGGAAACGCAUUUUCGAGUUGCACAUCAUGAUCAGGCACAGAGUCCAGAUACACUUGGAGUAGCAAGCAUCCAUCCUUGUGGAGACGCACAUGAACCAGGACUCUCUGCACCCACCCCUCUCAAGUUUUAUUUUCCGACGGCUGUAAUGUUCCAGGACACCUGCCAUCAUGGAGGGUUAUCCAGCACCUGGAGGAUACCUGCUACCUAUUUUGUGAACAAUUUGGCAUGAGGAGAGAAAGGAACCUGAAGUUUUUAGCAAGGAAGGAGGAAGACAAGGAGGAAGAGAAAGAAGAAAAAAAAGGAAAAAAAAAGGCAGACUUCAUAUGUCCCUCCCAACUCUUUUUUUAUCCACCUCUUAAAGGCCAAGGUUAUUUACUCAUAUUUUAGUAUUAUGUUUAAGCAAUAAAAAGGUGUUUUUAUUAAAGGGUCAGGUAAAUAGAAUUUUUAAAAUACCUAGGUCAGUAAAUGAGAUUUCAGUCAUUGUACAGGUGUCUUUGACUUCUGCACUUUCUAUAGUGAUGGCUGCACCAGCACAUUCAGAGGUGUUUGGCACAUGUUCUAGCCUCUGGACGCUCCGCUUCUUUUGAAUUGACUGAGGGAUGUGCACGGGUGGGAGGAGUCCCUGAUGUUGACACAGGUGUUGUCUUUCUGGAUCAGUGUUUUUUUUUUUUUUAAUCUAGAGUGUUUCUGAAAAGAAGAGGGAUUUCAUUCAUUGUGUACCUGUAGACUGUGUGUCAAUAUCUGUUUAUUAACUGCUUACUUUGGAUUUAGAGUUAAUCUUUGUAUUUACAUACAUUAGCUUAGGG
rnacentral:lncRNA from 1 species